AUCACGUGGGGUCCAAGCACAAAACUAGGAAGUGGCAGAGCAGGGUCUUGAACCUAAGUCUGACUCCAGGGUCCACGCCCUCAUCCCCAGCGCAGGGUUCCUGAACCAGGCACACUGGGCACUCCUCCUCCAGGCCCCGGGCUGACAACCCGCUGCCCUCGACAGGCUCUGCUGCCUGCUGGCCCCAUGACCAACUGAAUGCGAUUCCUGAUAAGAACCGCAGCACAUGUCUCACCGCUUUCGCAACGGUCAGAUUCCUUGGGAGGAGCCCUCUUGCGAGCUUUCCCUCCUGCCCCUUCCUUCAAACACCACCAGACUAAAGUACGCAGCCUUCGUCGUGUUGCAGGAAGCCAGGGCCCCUCCGCCGCCAAGGAGUGACAGUGGGUGAUCUACGCCACUAAACACAGGCAAACCUGGUGGCUUCUCAGUGGAGUUCCACGGUGAGAACUCAAGGAGAGAAGAUCUGAGAGGGGGCAGCUCCAUCUUUAUUACACGACUGCUCCCUGCCUCAAUCCGGUGUCCCACGAACAAGGCUAAACUCGAGAAACUACUAACAGAAUGGCUUAGGCAGAGUGCAGAGACCCAGGCUUUCUUCUGGCCACUAAGUAGCUCUGCCUCAGUCUCCUCAUUGGUAAUAUGUGGGCCUCAGCCUCCUCGCUGGUAACAUGGACGCGACUGGCCCGUCUCACGGCGCUGGCGGGGGAUCCGAGGAGAGACAGGGGACAAUACCCGUGUACACGUGAAACGCGCACGAAGGGCACAGGGUGUCAAACCCACAUGAAGGAUUAUGAUGAAAGGCAAUGCCCUUCCCGAGCAUUUGAAAGGACGCCUUUCCUUUCUCCCCUCCCACGGGUCCUGGGUCUCUCACGUCCUCGGACGAAUGCUGACCGCCUGCUCUUGCUGUUGCAUCUCAUCCUUCCGGCCCCUUCAGACACCGUCUCCUUUCUCCCUCACUGCAGAUGGGAGGAGACCUUUGGGCCCUAAAUCCAACUGAUUCCUGUCUCUGAUCCAACUGACCUGGGCUGCGGACUCAACUCGGUGUGACCCAGGCAGCCAGGGCCUAGAGAGCCCCGCGCCUCUGUGCUUUACACGGCCUCACGCUCCCUCCCUCUCUCUUCCUUAGAGGCCUCCGGCCAUCCUGGGACAGGCAAGAACCGACUGGGCCCCCAUCUCCCUCAGCUCUGCUCUGGGCCAGCCUAGCCUCCUGCUGCAACCGCCCCCCACGAAUUCCAGAAAUCUGAUGGGCAAGCCAGGGACUGAAGCAACAGAUCAGCAAGGUAAGAGUUCCGAUUGAAAAAUUCCUUAUCAAAAGCCAAGACAUUUUUGAGAUGCAAGAUAUCUCUGCAUGAGCCCUUUUUCAGCUCCGAGUGAGGCGAUCAGAGUGUUCCUUAAUCCCACAGAUGGCUCCCUGGCAGAAGCCUUCUCAGCAAUGGCACAUUCAAGGGCAUCAGGUUCUUAACUGCAUUCAGGGGACACUUCAUCCAGGGCUCACCUGUCCCAGGUGGGCAGUCAUUACAAAUCUCACAAUAAAUAAGUGCUUUAACCUGGAGGAGCUUAACUCUAGGUUUUGAAAUUUAAUUCUUUGUGCCUCCUGCCACAAAUUUUCCCCAUCUCCCUACCUUCUGGAAAUUCAGACUGCCCACCUUCCAGAAAGCGAAAUUCCUGAUGUUUUCAUUUAAUUAGCUACUUAGUCCGUGCAGCAUAAAUAGGUGUGAUCCUCAUGUGCAGAAAUUAAUGGACAUGAAAGACUCUAUUGGAGUGAAACGUCCCACCACGAAUGGCGACGCCCGAAAGGGAGGUCCCUGUGUGCACUGAGGAUAUCAGAUGAACGACAAAAACUUUUCUGGAAGACACGUGAUAAAACGUAAAUCAAAGCCCACUGGAGGGCUGAGUGUCACAAAUCCUUUCUACAGAAAGCUCCAGGGUGAGGCUAUCCAGACCUUAAGACGCAGCCGAGUCACCUGGAGAGCUCGGCAACGUGCCGGCGCUGGGGGCCUCCUCCACCUCGGCAUCGCGGAGGGGAGGUCCACGCACAGACAUGCGCACAAGCCAGCUCCUCCUCCUCCUCGGGGCAGUCUGAGCCACAGGGAAAGCCUUUAUGCGAGGUCUUAAGGUCGCAGACUUCCUAGGCCUGAGCCAAGCUGCCCCAAGGAUUUGCCCCAGGGGUUUGCCCAAAAUCAAGAACAAGAUUUGAGGUUCAGCCACUGGGCCACUGCUCAGUGGGAGGCCACCAAUUCGGACUCCCCUUUCCACCCAGGAGGCUGGUCAAACCCCUGGGCUGGACCCCGGGACUAAGAGCCUUGCACAAUGCACCUCAGAUGUUGAAGAUAUGUGCCCUCCUAAUCAAAAGCUGAGGCUCGAAGCGCUCCUAUAAGCACACAGAGGGGAGAAGAGAAGACAGAGGGCACAGGACUUUCCCGGCAACGCCUGGCAGCCCAAAUGGGCCUGUUGAUAGAAGCCUGGUCUUUUUUUUUUUUUUUUGGUCACACCUCUGGCAUGCAGAAAUUCCCAGGCCAGGGAUCAAAUGUGAGCCACAGCAGUGAUAAUAGCAGAUCCUGAACCAGCAGGCCACCAGGGAACUCCAGGGUGGAAACCUGGCCUUCUGAUCCCUCUGCCAGUGGCUGCUCAGCCUCUGGGUUUCUGCCAAAUGGCCCUCCUCCAAGAGGGAGCUCAAGAAAGAGGCAGGAGCUCUGUUAUGUCCUGUCCUCAGGCUCUGACUUUCAUUUUGCACUAAUCACAGAUAGUAUCUAUAUAUUACUUUUCAAUAUUCAUUUUCCCAACCAGACAGUGGACUCCAUGAGACAGAGGCCUGUUUUGCAAACUAGAAAUACUAGCACCUAACACAGUGCCCAUCGCACGGUGGAAAGUCAGUAAAUAUUUAUUGGAUGGAUUGAAAGAGACAGGAGUUACAACAGUUUCUCCUACAAAAUAGGAAAAAAGGAAUAUUGAAAAAGAGGGAUUUUCCCACAGCCAGGAACAAAUCGGUGUCCUGGGGCCAAUGAAGGCAGGGGAACUCACUCUCCCUCAGGUCUCAAGUGUCCAGGGUUGGACCAAACAGGCUCUGGCAAGCCUUCCAACUCAUAAGGGUCUACACAUUUUUUAAAAUUUUAAUUGAUGUGUCCUGAGUGGACACAGAAUACAAAGUGACUGAACUUUACACGUCAACUCAAAAAGAGGCCAGGGUCCCUGAGGCUCACCCCCAACUUUACGGUUUCACGAUGCCCUCUAGUGGCAAAACAUGUCACUCUACUUUGUGAACUGAUGAACAAAGUUUCAGUUUACAGUCCUGGCCUGAGCAUAAUUAAUAACUUAUAUAUGUGUGAAAGGCAUUAAAUCCACUGACAGCCACUUAUCCACUCAACUCACCACCCAGAACCUACUAAACACGUGCUUCGCCCCCUGCCCCUGCUUCUGUCUCGGAAGGAGUGGGCAUCCGUCAUCACACACGACCACGUUAGUACUGCCCUGCGAGCGCUGGGAAGGAGGCAGAGUGUUAACACAGCACGGGGCAGGCGCUGGGCCCCUAGAGGAGGGCUUCGCUGAAGAAAGGGCUUAGCUGGAACUGGAAGGAUUGGCAAGACAAAAGUGAGACGUGGUGAGGGGAGGGAGGAGGCUGAGAAUUCCAGACAAGAAACAGCUCUGGGAGCUGGAGAGAGAAGUUCGGGUGCGGUGCGGAGAAGGGCACAGGACGAGGAUGGAAAAGUGGGUGACAUGAUCACCCCAUCAAGGAGGUGCUCCUACGAGACACGGCUUCUGAGGAGUGGCAGAGGAAGAGGCCAGGGUGGACGGCACAGGACAGAGAGGAUGUGGGGCAGGAUGGGAGGCGGCAGAGAGCACAGGGGUGGGGAAGGGGGGACGCACAGGGUUCACCCGGCCUGACGGGAGCUUAGACAGCAGCCUUGGGAAAGUAUGUGGGCCGUCACCGAGCCCCCCUGUCCACGUGACAGGUGAGAAAACAGGCCCAGAGAAGGCAAGGUCAUGUCCAGUGAACAGCAAGGCUCCUUCCCCAUGUCCCCUCUCUUCAGGUUGCAGGACCUCACUGCUCCCAGAUGCUCAGCCUCCUUUGAUGGCUGCCGCUCCUCCCCAGCUUAUGGCCACCCCACCGGGACGAGCCAGCCACUGCCACACUGGAUUCCUGCCAUGUGCCCUCUCUCCCUUUGGGGCCGGCCCACAAACCCUUCUCUCCACUCACAGCACUCUUUCCGCGUCUCCUGGCCUGGCUCAUUCUCUAGGCCUUAGCUCAGAAACUCUCUCCUCCAUAAGCCACUCCCACCCUCCUUAGGAGGCCCGCGUCUCAGCUCCCCUGGGGAGCCUGGACCACACUGCAUGGGGAUGGUCUGGUUUCUUAUCCACAUCGCCCGUAAGAUUUGAGCACCCGGAGGUCCAAGGCCACACAUAACUCACUUUCUCCUGUAUCUCCAGCAGCUGGCACAGUGCCUGGCACUUAGAAGGUGUCCGUAAGUACUCCUUUGAUAAAUAAAGGAAGGAAAUCUCCUCCAGCCACCCAGCACUGCAUCUCACUCCCACCAGAGCAUCAUCCUCCGCCCUCUCUCUGCCCUGAAGACGCCUGCUUACCGCCCUCAUCUGGCCUGAGGCAAGGGAGGCCGCCCUGUGCCAGCCCAGGCAGCGACUGGUCAGCCUUGUCACUUGGGGCAGUUGUGGUGUCCCUCGCCUCCUGGGGGAAAGCAAGCGAGAAGCGACAAGGAGCUCUCUGCCCUCGGGCUUCCUGGACAUCCCUUCACCACUGACACGCGAUUUCCUGGCGACUGCGUUUUCUUUCUCGCCAGCCUCUGCAACAUUCUGAGGGUGGGUUUCUCUGGGUGAGCCUAAAACCUCCCACAGACCCGAGGCCAGAAACCCGUACAAGGCAGCCCACAGUGAAGCGGCUGCUCUCCUGCCUGCACCCAAAAGGGAUCCCUGAGGUUCUGUUCAAUCAAUGGCGCAUGUUUGUCGGAAGUCGCACUGUGACCAGGAUCCAUGAGGAUGGGGGUUUGAUCCCUGGCCUUGCUCAGUGGGUUAAGGAUCCGGCAUUGCUGUUGCUGUGGUGUAGGUCACAGACGCAGCUGGGAUCCCGCGUUACCGUGGCUUGUGGCAUAGGCUGGCAGCUGCAGCUUUGUCUUGACUCCUAGCCUGGAAACCUCCAUGUGCCACAGAUGCAGCCCUU
rnacentral:lncRNA from 1 species